rnacentral:rRNA from 1 species
UAUACUGGGGAAUAAUCACUGGAAACGGUGACUAAUACCGCAUGUCAUUACGGAAGGGCAUCCUUCUGUAAGAAAAGGAGUAAUUCGGUAUAGGAUGGGCCCGCAUCUGAUUAGCUAGUUGGUGAGAUAACAGCCCACCAAGGCGACGAUCAGUAGCCGACCUGAGAGGGUGAUCGGCCACAUUGGGACUGAGACACGGCCCAAACUCCUACGGGAGGCAGCAGUGGGGAAUAUUGCACAAUGGGGGAAACCCUGAUGCAGCAACGCCGCGUGAAGGAAGAAGGUUUUCGGAUCGUAAACUUCUAUCAACAGGGACGAAGAAAGUGACGGUACCUGAA